GCAAGUCGCACGAGAACACUUCUGCUUGCAGAAGUUAGUAAAGUGGCGCACGGGUGAGUAACGCGUGGGCAAUCUACCUCCGAAUCGGGGAUAACCCCGCGAAAGCGGAGCUAAUACCGGAUAAUAUCCAUAUUUCCUCGUGAAAUUUGGAUCAAGGGUGGCCUCUACAUGUAAGCUACCGUUUGGAGAUGAGCUCGCGUACCAUUAGCUUGUUGGUAGGGUAACGGCCUACCAAGGCGACGAUGGUUAGCUGGUCUGAGAGGAUGAUC
rnacentral:rRNA from 1 species